rnacentral:tRNA from 1 species
AAGUUUAGGUUAAUCAACUUAAAACCAAGGACCUUCAAAGCCCUAAACAGGGAUCAACCCCCCUAACUUCUG